GAGAAAGUGGAGCAACCCAUGAGUACAGCGGCGAACGGGUGAGUAACACGUGGGUAAUCUACCUUCGAGUGGGGAAUAACCCUGGGAAACCGGGGCUAAUACCGCAUAAACCUGAGAAGGGAAAGCAGAAAGGCGCUAAAAGAGGAGCCCGCGGCCGAUUAGCUAGUUGGUGAGGUAAAGGCUCACCAAGGCGGGGAUCGGUAGCCGGCCUGAGAGGGCACACGGCCACACUGGCACUGAAACACGGGCCAGACUCCUACGGGAGGCAGCAGUGGGGAAUCUUGCACAAUGGAGGCAACUCUGAUGCAGCGACGCCGCGUGAGCGAUGAAGCCCUUCGGGGUGUAAAGCUCUUUCGGCAGGGACGAUAAUGACGGUACCGGAAGAAGAAGCUGCGGCUAACUACGUGCCAGCAGCCGCGGUAAUACGUAGGCAGCGAGCGUUGUUCGGAAUUACUGGGCGUAAAGAGUGUGUAGGCGGUGAUCUAAGUUCGGUGUGAAAUCUCCCGGCUCAACUGGGAGGGUGCGCCGGAAACUGGAGUGCUUGAGCGUGGGAGAGGAAAGCGGAAUUCCUGGUGUAGCGGUGAAAUGCGUAGAUAUCAGGAGGAACACCGGUGGUGUAGACGGCUUUCUGGACCAAAGCUGACGCUGAGACACGAAAGCGUGGGUAGCAAACAGGAUUAGAUACCCUGGUAGUCCACGCCCUAAACGAUGCAUACUUGGUGUCGGCCAUUCAGUUGGUCGGUGCCGGAGCUAA
rnacentral:rRNA from 1 species